rnacentral:tRNA from 1 species
GGCGAAAUAGCCAAGUGGUAAAAGGCAACAGACCGCAAAUCUGUGACCACCAGUUCAAAUCUGGCUUUCGCCU